GCCCGGUGGCUCAGUCGGUUGAGCGUCCGACUUCAGCUCAGGUCAUGAUCUCACGGUUCGUGGGUUCAAGCCCUGCAUCGGGCU
rnacentral:tRNA from 1 species